UAUAUAUAAAGGAGUGGCUUAAAUUGAAGAAGAGGGACAUGUGGAGGAGGCAAAAGACUUUCGUCACCGAAUUGGCUAUCAGAAAUGGAGAAAGCAAAACCUGAAGCACCUCAUGUCCUUAUCUUGCCAAUCCCUGCUCAAGGCCAUCUCAGACCCAUGUUGAAGCUAGCAGAGCUUCUCAGCAACGCAAGUUUCCAAAUCACCUUCCUAAACACUGAAUACUUCCACCAUACUUUCCUUUCCUCUAUCGACAUCCACGCCUUUUCUCGCCGCUUUCCUAAAUUUCAGUUCGUAACAAUUCCAGAUGGUCUACCCCCUGAUUCUCCACGCCCCGGAAAAGGUAUCGCUCAUUAUUUAAUCUCUCUCACGGAUGCAGCUAAGCCUGCCGUUGUUGAGGUGCUGGUUUCUCUCAGAUCUAAAUCAGGGCGGCCUCCCACCUGCAUAAUAGCUGAUGGGAUAAUGUCGUCUGCUGCUGUUGCUGCCGGUGAGGAAUUUGGGAUCCCUGUUUUAGCUUUUCGCACCUACAGUGCUUGCUGCACCUGGACUUACUUCAACUUGUCCAACCUCGUUGAAGGAGGGGAACUCCCAUUACCAGAUAAAGACAUGGACAAGCUAGUGACUUGCAUUCCUGGUUUGGAGAAUGUUUUACGACAUCGAGAUCUUCCAAGUUUUUGUAGGCUUGAGAAAGCCGAUGAUCAUCUGCUCUACGACUUCUUCAUCGCCCAAGCUUCGGCCAUGCGACGAGCAUCUGCUCUCAUCCUCAACACAUUCGAACAACUUGAAACACCCUUUAUAUCUAAGCUCGCUUCUAUUUUCUCCAAAAUUUACACUAUCGGACCAUUGCAUUGUCUCUCCAAUGUGGACGACCCAACAGCUUUAGCUUCGACAAAAAGUAUUUUUUGGCAAGAAGAAAAAGGUUGCCUCACUUGGCUUGAUUCUCACCCAUCAAAAUCAGUUGUUUUCGUUAGCUUUGGGAGUGUAGUGACCUUCACCCUUGACCAAAUGCUUGAAUUUUGGCAUGGCUUGGUUAACAGUGGGAAACCAUUUCUAUGGGUCAUACGGUCCAACGCCAUUAUUGGAGAGGAUGAUCCAAGGAAAAUAUUGGAGGACCUGAAAGACAAUACAAAAGGGAAGGGAUCGAUAGUGAGCUGGGCACCUCAAGAAGAGGUCUUAGCCCACCCUGCUGUGGGUGCAUUCUUGACUCAUAGCGGUUGGAACUCCACCUUGGAGAGUAUAUACGCAGGGGUUCCCAUGAUUUGCUGGCCUCUAUUUGUGGAUCAAUAUGUCAACAGCAGAUGCGUGAGUUAUGUGUGGAGAGUGGGUUUUGAUAUGAAAGAUAGUUGUCAUAGAUCCAUUAUUGAAAAAAUGGUUAGGGACGUGAUUGAAAUGAAGAAUGAAGAAAUAAUGAAGUCAAUGGAAGAGAUUUCAAAGCAAGCUCAAGAGAGUGUUAAGGAAAGUGGGCCUUCUUACUGCAACUUGGACAAAAUGAUUCAAGACAUAAUGUCAGUCAAUCUGGAAAAUAUUAAUAGAAGAGAUUGAGGUAUAGAAGAAAAUCUCAGUUCCUAAAACGUUGUGUUCAUUUCUUAAAAUAAAGUUGUGUUGAACCAAUUUGUUGAACACAAAUUGGUUUCAUUUGGUCAAAAGAGCAAACAAACUGCUUUAGGUUUAAAGUAUCAAUGUAUUGUUUGAUAUCAUCCACACCUUGUGCUUCAUAUAUUUUCUUCAAAUCAAGAAACACGAAAACCGAACUUGGACCAGGGGAAGACCAAGUAAGUUGAGUAAAUCGUCUAGCCACCUACAUUUUGUAAUCCGAGUGCCACCAUAGUAGCUUGAGGAUCAUCUCUACGUCAGGGAAGCCAGUUACACUAUCAUCUGGAGCACUUGGUAUAGUUAGAUCUUUUAUUUUGAUUAUGGCAUGUAUAGGACCUUGACUUUUGAGUUUUUUGUCAUUGUCAAUUGGCCAAAUAUGUUGGCUUACUUUAGCAUUUGAUUUAUUUUGUAUAAGGCCAUGGAAAUUAACUAAUAUUGAAAGUUAUUAUGUGAAUGCAAGCUAGCAUUUCAUGAA